GCGUGAGAAACCUGCCCCAAAGUCGGGAAUAACUCAGGGAAACUUGAGCUAAUACCGGAUGCCCUCUUCUGGCCGCAUGUCAGAUGAGGAAAGAUUUAUCGCUUUGGGAGGGUCUCGCGACCUAUCAGCUAGUUGGUGAGGUAACGGCUCACCAAGGCAUCGACGGGUAGCUGGUUUGAGAGAACGAUCAGCCACAUUGGAACUGAGACACGGUCCAAACUCCUACGGGAGGCAGCAGUGGGGAAUCUUGCACAAUGGGCGAAAGUGAUGCAGCGACGCCGCGUGGGGGAUGAAGGCCCUAGGGUCGUAAACCCCUUUCAGUAGGGACGAAAAUAACGGUACCUACAGAAGAAGCUCCGGCCAACUACGUGCCAGCAGCCGCGGUAAGACGUAGGGGGCGAGCGUUGUCCGGAUUUAUUGGGCGUAAAGGGCUCGUAGGCGGUUACGUAAGUCGGAUGUGAAAACUCCAGGCUCAACUUGGAGACGCCAUCCGAUACUGCGUUGACUUGAGUCCGGUAGAGGAGUGUGGAAUUCCUAGUGUAGCGGUGAAAUGCGCAGAUAUUAGGAGGAACACCUAUUGCGAAGCAGCACUCUGGGCCGGUACUGACGCUGAGGAGCGAAAGAUGGGUAGCAAACAGGAUUAGAUACCCUGGUAGUCCAUGCCGUAAACGGUGGGCACUAGAUGUGGGGACUUUCAACGGUUUCCGUGUCGUAGCUAAC
rnacentral:rRNA from 1 species